UAGGGAAUUUUCGUCAAUGGGCGCAAGCCUGAACGAGCAAUGCCGCGUGAACGAGGAAGGUCUUCGGAUCGUAAAGUUCUGUUGAAGGGGAAAAAGAGCGGAGAGAGGAAAUGCUUUCUGAUUGAUAUUACCCUUCGAAGAAGUCACGGCUAACUACGUGCC
rnacentral:rRNA from 1 species